GCCCCACCCAGAGAGGARGAACUGGACAUCCCUACCAGCAUAUAAACUGGGGCUCUGGAACACUGGGACACUUCUUCCACUGGGUUCCCAGAGGAGAGGAGCUUGAGAACCACUACUGGACCUUCAGAGACGGACUCGACCUGUCUUCAGGAUCACUGCAGCAACGAGAGCACAUCCAUCAUUCCAACGGCACUGCAGGCACCACUCUGCCCAACAGUGUGUCAGCAUUUCCCAUUGCCAGCCAUUGGCUGGAUAGAGAAGGAGGCUGCGAAGAAGAGGAGGAUGCCCCAGGACCCCCAGGCAGGCAAUGAGCUGAGGAUGGAGACCAAGGAGGACAAAUCCCCCCAGCAGAACAUCAUGGAAGAGGCCGUUUUGUGCAGCUCCAGAGUACAGGAAUCCAAUGAGAAGGAAAAGCCACAGAGAUCUUGCGCAA